UACGAAGGGGGCUAGCGUUGUCCGGAUUUAUUGGGCGUAAAGAGCGUGUAGGCGGCCUGGUAGGUCUGCUGUGAAAACUCGAGGCUCAACCUCGAGAUGUCGGCGGAAACCAUCUGGCUAGAGUCCGGAAGAGGAGAGUGGAAUUCCUGGUGUAGCGGUGAAAUGCGCAGAUAUCAGGAAGAACACCUAUGGCGAAGGCAGCUCUCUGGGACGGUACUGACGCUGAGACGCGAAAGCGUGGGGAGCGAACAGG
rnacentral:rRNA from 1 species